AUGAUUUAAAAAUGUUCAUCAUAAUUUCGUAUAUAUCAUGAUACAUAUUUCUCUUCCCACUUGACACUAUUUGUUUGAAUGUAUAUUAUAUUUGAAAUGAUUCAUCAGAAUAGGUAUAAAGUCCAGGAGCAGCACUACUUACUUUUAAUUUAACCAGGAGCAUGCAGAAACAAAUAUUCUGCCAGUAACUGUAUAUUCUGAUGAUGACAUUAAGAACAGUUUCGAUGGUAGACAUUAUCAUUAUGAACGAAAAACCAGGGGGCAUACGUCGUGGAACUGAAAAUGAAC